rnacentral:lncRNA from 1 species
AGGUAGGAACAUUUACAGUGGAAAAAUUGUCAACGUUGUGAGAUGAGGCCCCUCGGCCUAUGAUUUGGGGGUCUUCAGGUCUGCCAAAGCUCUUCAGUAUACAAUAGGCUUGCUUGCUCUAUCUCAACCUUAGCAUCUUGUCCACAAGUAGGCUUAUCCCAGCUCCAUCCUUCAGCUGAUCUUCGCAGAAUGGGUUGCCUGAACACUCUGCUUGCUUUGCCCUAGUUGGAUCCUAGUAGACAUUAGUGCUGAAGGUUAUGGGAGCUUUCUGAGGAGCUAGAGCAAGCAUAUUGCUCUUUGGCUUGGUAAAGUUAGGUUCAGAGGUGUGAAUGCUUGACAGCCUUUCUCUGGGAAUGCGGUGAUUGACUCCAUGGGAGGGAGUGUAUUUGUGCUUUCAACUUGUAAAACCCACCCUGAUGCCUGAAUACAAAUGGGGCUAGGGGCAUCUAUGUCCACCUAAGUAUAUCUUGCUGAGAAGGAGAAUCCCGUGUCCCCCCCCCCCCCCAGAGCAUCCCAACCUCAUUCUCUGAUUGGUUAUUUUCUCCACUGUGACCUUUCAGUGUGGAAGAAAUGCCCCUUGGACUAAUCCCACCACCACCACUCUGAUUACAUUCAAUUCGACUCAGAUAAGACUUGUGUCUUCUAGUGGAGCUGGGAAAAAAGCCUUGAGUGUGGCCACAGAGGGCUUUCACAUCGUGUUUCUUGCUACACACUGAAGCCUCUUUAUUCUUGAACAGCUGAUGGGACCGAUAGAAAACUUUGUACCUUAUAACCGUAACUUCACCCCUCAUAGCUCAUUCCUACGCUGUGUAGACCCAGUUUCGGGACACACACACAGUGCCAUGAUACCACCUACGCAUCCAAUUUAUUCCAUCAAUUUGGAUGGCUUUUGCUGCUCUUGGCUGUAGACCUGCAAAAACAAAGCCAUGGGAUAAAGCAGCUCGGAUCAUGAAAUGAAAACUUUGUACCUUUCUGGAGGCCCAGUAGAGGGAAAUGAUUUAUUUUUGCCCUACCAAAUAAAACAUUCUAGGAAUCCAAGGUGAAAAUUGGAUUUUAACUGCUACUAACAUUUUGAGCAUAUAAAACCGGCAAGUGUUGAGUGCUUUGCCUGAUUAAGAGAAGAGCCCGGAGUCUGGUACAAGAAUGAGCCAUGUUGGGGGCUGGUGAGAUGGCUCAGUGGGUAAGAGCACCCGACUGCUCUUCCGAAGGUCCGGAGUUCAAAUCCCAGCAACCACAUGGUGGCUCACAACCAUCUAUAAUGAGAUCUGAUGCCCAUUUCUGGAGUGUCUGAAGACAGCUACAGUGUACUUACAUAUAAUAAAUAAAUAAAUCUUUAAAAAAAAAAAAAAAAAAAAAAAAAAAAAAAAAGAAUGAGCCAUGUGCAAAGUGGUUGGUGUCUCAAAUAAAUCCAACCAGUUUAUGAAACUUGAAGAGAAUGUUAAGCAGAUGUUGGCAGCUAGGUCUCAGCAAUGGAGACCUCUGUGUUUUUGUUUGUCCUGUGUCUUAUAUUCGAGUCACUGUGGCCUUUCCUUUUCAGCUUCGAAUCUUCAUGCUUUGGGUUUAAAGUUGUCUAUGGCUGAGCUCGAGGAGUGUUGGGGAACAAUUCUGAUUCAAGUAGUUUGUCUUCACCUUGAUUCUUUCUCUUCCUUUAGGGUGUGUGUGUGUGUGUGUGUGUGUGUGUGCUAUGCAUGCAUGUCUGCUUCCCUCUUUGGCCCUGGUGCAGAUCCAGCUCUGGGAUAGGCAGACUCCCAUUCAGCACACGGUGCUCAUGGCUAGCAAAGACCCACCUGCCUGCAGCCUUUCCUUUUGGUGCACUGGUUUAUAACAGUCACACAGGCAACGUGCAUCCCACCAACUGGGUUGCUUUCCUCCCUCUUUC